CGGGGAGUAGCGCAGUUGGCUAGCGCACUUGCUUUGGGAGCAAGGGGUCCCGAGUUCGAGUCUCGGCUCCCCGACCA
rnacentral:tRNA from 1 species